rnacentral:tRNA from 1 species
GUCUUCGUGGUGUAAUGGUCAGCACACUCGGCGCGUAUUCGAGAGGUCAGAGGUUCGAGUCCCGGCGAGGGCA